CCUACGGGAGGCAGCAGUGAGGAAUAUUGGUCAAUGGGCGCGAGCCUGAACCAGCCAAGUCGCGUGAGGGAAGACGGCCCUACGGGUUGUAAACCUCUUUUGCCGGGGAGCAACGGGCGCCACGUGUGGCGCCACUGAGAGUACCCGGAGAAAAAGCAUCGGCUAACUCCGUGCCAGCAGCCGCGGUUAUACGGAGGAUGCGAGCGGUAUCCGGAUUUAUUGGGUUUAAAGUGUGCGUAGGCGGAGCGUAAAGUCAGUGGUCAAAAUGAGGGGAUCAACCCCGUACCGCAAUUGAAAAUGGCGCUCUUGAGUGGAAGAGAAGUAUGCGGAAUGCGUGGUGUAGCGGUGAAAUGCAGAGAUAUCACGCAGAACCCCGAUUGCGAAGGCAGAAUGCCGGCUUCCUACUGACGCUGAAGCACGAAAGCGUGGGGAGCGAACAGGAUUAGAUACCCUUGUAGUC
rnacentral:rRNA from 1 species